AAUAGGAAGGUGGGGUGUGCUCCCUGAGGGGUGCCCUGUGCCUCUGCCAGCAUCCUUCUAGAGGCGUGGUGCCCCGGAAACCCCUUUCCCAACCCCGCCCCCGGCCGUUGCUUUUGAGCAGACAACUGGGUGGCGGACGUGUCACGCUUCUGGCUGCUCUUUGAGCGCUCUUGUCCUGGUCUGGGGAGGCAGGUCCCCCAGCCAGCGCCCCCGCGGGUUGGGACCCUGGAGCGUCCAGUCUGCCUUGGUUUCUGCAGGAAAUUGAUUUGGGCUGACUAUGUCUGGAACUGGGUGAGUUUUUCUGGAAACAUCUAGAGCACCUGCAUGGAGCCAUCCAGGUCUAUCUCGUGUGUCUCUGCCAGGAGCUGUGAGCUACAGCAGGAGCCUGGUCUUCACAUAGCAAACCCAUCCCGGGGUAUCCAGGGAACGUGGCUCACGGUAAGAAUAUGUUGAAUCUACUUCUUUACACCUUUGUGAAAAUCUCUGCUUAUUAUAAUGAAGGCAGAGAG